ensembl:snoRNA
GAUCAGUGAUAAAAAUAAUCAAAUCUGAGUAUCAGAACUUCUAGUCUACCUGAUGCAUGAUCUCUGUAGUUCUGAGA